rfam:Hordeum vulgare subsp. vulgare, WGS project CAJW01000000 data, contig: morex_contig_103507
CUUCUACUCCCUUCGUCCGGAAUUACUUGUCACAAAAAUGAAUAAUAAUGAAUGUAUAUAGAUGUAUUUUAUUUUUAGAUACAUUUGUUAUUAUUCACUUUUAUGAUAAGUAAUUUCGGACGGAGGGAGUAAUUA